AUUACACUGGCAUUGGUUUCCAUAAAUGUAUUGUUAGCUCUUUCCUUCAUGACAGUGGAACUUCAAACAGUCCAAUUUUAACAGCUCCAGGGUGUCCUUUGGAACGUGACCUUUGUCAGAACGCACUUCAGACUGUGGAUGGGAAUGGAUGCAGUUGAACCAGUUUCUUUUGAAGACCCUGACCUGGAGUUACACGCUGGUUUCACUACAAUGGGACCCGCUCUCAGGGCCUCACAACUGGUUACUUUUCGAAAUGCCAGGGACAUGGCCAGGGAGACUAAUGCACCUUCAGGGUGCUGGAUUUUUGUGGCUGUGGAGGUGGCAGAUUCGAGGUCGGUGCCACCGCUUGAUGCAUUGUGGGAGUACAUGGAAGAUCAGAAGCAGUGAACUGGCUGCUGUCUGUGUGCCCGAGACCCGAGUUCUUCAGGCACAGAGCCUGAAAAAAGCGAUGCAACAGACUUUUAACACCAUAAAUCAGCAAGUUGUUUGUUAUCUCUCCCCUCUCACCGUGAAAUGGGGACACCUCUUUUUCGCUUACUAGGGAGAGAGAGAGCCUGGGGUAUGUCGAAUACCAGGUGAAUGAGUAGUCUUUGGGGUACUGCAAGUCUGUGUUUUUACUGAUGCUUUACUGCACGCUUGAGUGCCCGGUGGAAGGUGCAGAUGCUUGUUUGCUGGUGGGGGUGAAGUGGUGAGUCAUUGCCUUGCUAC